AUCGUCUCCUCUCCAUCUAUCCCUCACGGGCCUCACCCUUCUUGGUUUAUAAUUUUAGAACAUUAAUUACUAGAGUUUAUGAUUUCUUUCGGUUCUCUAGGGUUUUCACUUCGAAUUGAAGCCGAUAACAUAUUAAAAUUUAGUCGAAGGACGAAACUUUUUGGUUUUGACCGUCUUGAUUAACAAAUUUUCUUUUCUUUAUAUCGUUCUCACAUCCGCUAUUUUAUCAAUUAUAUAAUUUUUACAAAGCAUAUAUUUUCAACCGCUAAACCAAUCGUUUAAACUGCUUGAUAACAUUUAAAACCGCAACCGUCCACUUUUGUAUACUCCUGUAAUUUUAUCCACAUUGGCUGCGUUUAAACC
rnacentral:sRNA from 1 species